rnacentral:rRNA from 1 species
CAGUAGUGUAUAUCAAGUUGGCUGCGGCUCAAAAGCUCGUAGUUGGAUUUCUGCCAAGGACGACCGGUCCGCCCUCUGGAUGAGUAUUGGGCUCAGGCCGCUCGGCCUGGGCAUCUUCUUGGGGAACGUAUCUGCACUUGCACACGUCUUGAAUACAGCAGCAUGGAAUAGUACGAUGGGACCUCGGUUAUAUUUUGUUGGUUUCUGGAGCAGAGGUAAUGAUUAAUAGGAAUAGUUACUGGCAUUUGUAUUUAAUUGUCAGAGGUGGAAUAGUUGGAUAUGUUGAAGACGGACUACUGCUAAAGUAUUUGCCAAGGAUGUUUUCAUUGGUCAUGAAACAAAGUUAGGGGAUCGAAGACGAUCAGAUACCA